rnacentral:rRNA from 1 species
UCCCGGAUGUUAGCGGCGGACGGGUGAGUAACACGUGGGUAACCUGCCUGGAAGACUGGGAUAACUCCGGGAAACCGGAGCUAAUACCGGAUAGUUCCUUGAACCGCAUGGUUCAAGGAUGAAAGACGGUUUCGGCUGUCACUUACAGAUGGACCCGCGGCGCAUUAGCUAGUUGGUGAGGUAACGGCUCACCAAGGCGACGAUGCGUAGCCGACCUGAGAGGGUGAUCGGCCACACUGGGACUGAGACACGGCCCAGACUCCUACGGGAGGCAGCAGUAGGGAAUCUUCCGCAAUGGACGAAAGUCUGACGGAGCAACGCCGCGUGAGUGAUGAAGGUUUUCGGAUCGUAAAGCUCUGUUGUUAGGGAAGAACAAGUGCAAGAGUAACUGCUUGCACCUUGACGGUACCUAACCAGAAAGCCACGGCUAACUACGUGCCAGCAGCCGCGGUAAUACGUAGGUGGCAAGCGUUGUCCGGAAUUAUUGGGCGUAAAGGGCU